UACGGAGGGGGCAAGCGUUAUUCGGAAUUAUUGGGCGUAAAGGGCGCGUAGGCGGCUAGAUGUGUCAAAGGUGAAAUCCCUCGGCUCAACUGAGGAACUGUCUUUGAAACUGUCUGGCUUGAGGGCGGGAGAGGGUAGCGGAAUUCCCAGUGUAGCGGUGAAAUGCGUAGAUAUUGGGAGGAACACCAGUGGCGAAGGCGGCUACCUGGACCGGUUCUGACGCUGAGGCGCGAAAGCGUGGGUAGCAAACAGG
rnacentral:rRNA from 1 species